GACGAACGCUGGCGGCGUGCUUAACACAUGCAAGUCGAACGGAAAGGCCCUGCUUUUGUGGGGUGCUCGAGUGGCGAACGGGUGAGUAACACGUGAGUAACCUGCCCUUGACUUUGGGAUAACUUCAGGAAACUGGGGCUAAUACCGGAUAGGAGCUCCUGCUGCAUGGUGGGGGUUGGAAAGUUUCGGCGGUUGGGGAUGGACUCGCGGCUUAUCAGCUUGUUGGUGGGGUAGUGUCUUACCACGGCUUUGACGGGUCGCCGGCCUGAGAGGGUGACCGGCCAAAUUGGGACGGAGAUAGGGCCCAGACCCCUACGGGAGGAAGCGGGGGGGAAUAUGGCACAAGGGGGCGAGGCCGGAUGAAGCAACGCCGGGGGGGGGAGGCCGGCCUUCGGGUGUUAAACCGCUUCCGCCUGUGACGAGGCGUGUGUGACGGUAAUGGGUAAAGAAGCACCGGCUAACUACGUG
rnacentral:rRNA from 1 species